rnacentral:rRNA from 1 species
CCUACGGGUGGCAGCAGUGAGGAAUAUUGGUCAAUGAGCGCUAGCCUGAACCAGCCACGUAGCGUGAAGGAUGACUGCCCUAUGGGUUGUAAACUUCUUUUAUAUGGGAAUAAAGUGCAGUAUGUAUACUGCUUUGCAUGUACCUUAUGAAUAAGGAUCGGCUAACUCCGUGCCAGCAGCCGCGGUAAUACGGUGGAUCCGAGCGUUAUCCGGUUUUAUUGGGUCUAAAGGUAGACUAGGCGGGUUGUUAAGUCAGUUGUGAAAGUUUGCGGCGCAACCGGAAAAUUGCAGUUGAUACUGGCAUCCUUGAGUACAGUAGAGGUAGGCGGAAUUCGUGGUGGAGCGGUGAAAUGCUUAGAUAUCACGAAGAACACCGAUGGCGAAGGCAGCCUGCUGGAUUGUAACUGACGCUGAUGCUCGAAAGUGUGGGUAUCAAACAGGAUUAGAUACCCGUGUAGUC